rnacentral:lncRNA from 13 species
CUUCCAGCUUCCCACUUCCCACAGCUCGGCAAGAGAGAGAAACACACAAGCCUGGGGCUGGAAGGCUGCGGCCUCCUUCUCUCCCUAAGUCCUGGCGCCGGCGCCACUUUUCCCACAGUGCCCUUCCCCUUCAGGCCCAGCAGGCUCUUCUGAGCACUGACUCCAGUAUUUGGUUGUGCCUUUAAUAAUAAGCCCAUUCGAGCCUUCUCAGCCCUGACAGCCAGAUCAUUGCUGUUCCAUUUUACAGAUAAGGACCAGCCUAGGCAUUUGCUCCUCUUCCUAGACACAGAGGCCGGGAAGGAGGUGCCACAGGGACUCCGCCUCCAGGGCCGGCGGGUUACAGCGUCUUCUCACCGCCUUCGCUUUCUUCCGGCGGUGAUGGAAUCAGACACCCAUAUUCUACUCCAGAGCCCCCUGUCUAGCUUGCAGGUCAGUGGACAGGGGCUGCAGUGAGCUUAGCACCUCACUGGAUGGAAGCUCUACCCUUUACACACCAGCACCCCCGCUGCCUGACAUCGUUUAAUUCAG